AACGAACGCUGGCGGCAUGCCUAACACAUGCAAGUCGAACGAAGGCUUCGGCCUUAGUGGCGCACGGGUGCGUAACGCGUGGGAAUCUGCCCUCUGGUACGGAAUAACUCAGGGAAACUUGAGCUAAUACCGUAUAAUGACUUCGGUCCAAAGAUUUAUCGCCUGAGGAUGAGCCCGCGUCGGAUUAGCUAGUUGGUGAGGUAAAAGCUCACCAAGGCGACGAUCCGUAGCUGGUCUGAGAGGAUGAUCAGCCACACUGGGACUGAGACACGGCCCAGACUCCUACGGGAGGCAGCAGUGGGGAAUAUUGGACAAUGGGCGAAAGCCUGAUCCAGCAAUGCCGCGUGAGUGAUGAAGGCCUUAGGGUUGUAAAGCUCUUUUACCCGGGAUGAUAAUGACAGUACCGGGAGAAUAACGCCCCGGCUAACUCCGUGCCAGCAGCCGCAGUAAU
rnacentral:rRNA from 1 species